rnacentral:rRNA from 1 species
AUUGAACGCUGGCGGCAUGCCUUACACAUGCAAGUCGAACGGCAGCACGGGGGCAACCCUGGUGGCGAGUGGCGAACGGGUGAGUAAUGCAUCGGAACGUGCCCAGUAGUGGGGGAUAACCCGGCGAAAGCCGGGCUAAUACCGCAUACGACCCAAGGGUGAAAGCGGGGGACCGUAAGGCCUCGCGCUAUUGGAGCGGCCGAUGUCUGAUUAGCUAGUUGGCGGGGUAAGAGCCCACCAAGGCGACGAUCAGUAGCUGGUCUGAGAGGACGACCAGCCACACUGGGACUGAGAAACGGCCCAGACUCCUACGGGAGGCAGCAGUGGGGAAUUUUGGACAAUGGGCGCAAGCCUGAUCCAGCCAUGCCGCGUGCGGGAAGAAGGCCUUCGGGUUGUAAACCGCUUUUGGCAGGAACGAAACGGCGCAAGCCAAUACCUUGCGCUAAUGACGGUACCUGCAGAAUAAGCACCGGCUAACUACGUGCCAGCCGCCGCGGUAACAC